GCCUGGGUGGCUCAGUCGGUUGAGCAUCCGACUUCAGCUCGGGUCAUGAUCUCACAGUCUGUGAGUUCGAGCCCCGUGUCGGGCU
rnacentral:tRNA from 1 species